rnacentral:lncRNA from 1 species
AAAAAAACAACAGCAGAAGGUCACCAACAGGUCUUCAAUGUAGCGAGAAAUUCCCGCACCCGGAGGCGUUCUUCAGCUGGCCCCUAAACAAAUAUAUACUAGUUCAGUGAUAAUGAACGCCAUACUAAUUUCCAAAUUGUACACAAGAAACUAAAAUUUAAAUAAUACAAGACUAACAAAGGCCAGAGGCUCCUGACUUGGGACAGGCGCAAAAAUGCGGCGGGGUUAAACAUGUUUU